UAAACGGGAGCUUGAAGUUAAGCAUCUGGCUGUUAACCAGGGAGAUACGAGGUCGUUCUCGUUCGUUUAG
rnacentral:tRNA from 1 species